rnacentral:rRNA from 1 species
UACGGAGGGGGCUAGCGUUGUUCGGAAUUACUGGGCGUAAAGCGCGCGUAGGCGGAUCUGCAAGUCGGGGGUGAAAUCCCGAGGCUCAACCUCGGAACUGCCCUUGAUACUGCGGGUCUCGAGUCCGAGAGAGGUGAGUGGAAUUCCUAGUGUAGAGGUGAAAUUCGUAGAUAUUAGGAAGAACACCAGUGGCGAAGGCGGCUCACUGGCUCGGUACUGACGCUGAGGCGCGAAAGCGUGGGGAGCAAACAGG